rnacentral:rRNA from 1 species
GACGAACGCUGGCGGCGUGCUUAACACAUGCAAGUCGAACGGAAAGGCCCUGCUUUUGUGGGGUGCUCGAGUGGCGAACGGGUGAGUAACACGUGAGUAACCUGCCCUUGACUUUGGAAUAACUUCAGGAAACUGGGGCUAAUACCGGAUAGGAGCUCCUGCUGCAUGGUGGGGGUUGGAAAGUUUCGGCUGUUGGGGCUGGACUCGCGGCUUAUCAGCUUGUUGGUGGGGUAGUGGCUUACCAAGGCUUUGACGGGUAGCCGGCCUGAGAGGGUGACCGGCCACAUUAGGACUAAGAGAGGGACCAGAGUCCUACGGGAGGCAGCAGUGGGGAAUAUUGCACAGUGGGCGGAAGCCUGAUGCAGCAACGCCGCGUGCGGGAUGACGGCCUUCGGGUUGUAAACCGCUUUCGCCUGUGACGAAGCGUGAGUGACGGUAAUGAGUAAAGAAGCACCGGCUAACUACGUG